rnacentral:rRNA from 1 species
UACGUAGGGGGCGAGCGUUGUCCGGAGUUACUGGGCGUAAAGGGCAUGCAGGCGGUCUGCCGCGUGUGGGGUGACAGCGGGUGGCUCAACUACCCGAGCAUGGCACAAACGGGCGGACUUGAGGACGCGAGAGGGACACGGAAUUCCGGGUGGAGUGGUGAAAUGCGUAGAGAUCCGGAGGAACACCGCAGGCGAAGGCAGUGUCCUGGCGCGUAACUGACGCUGAGGUGCGAAAGCCAGGGGAG